rnacentral:rRNA from 1 species
GCGGCAGGCUUAACACAUGCAAGUCGAGGGGUAACAGGGAAAAGCUUGCUUUUUUGCUGACGACCGGCGAACGGGUGCGUAACGCGUAUAGAAUCUGCCUUGUACAGGAGGAUAGCCUUUAGAAAUGAAGAUUAAUACUCCAUAAUGUUGAGAAAUGGCAUCAUUUUUUAAUUAAAGAUUUAUCGGUACAAGAUGACUAUGCGUCCUAUUAGCUAGAUGGUAAGGUAACGGCUUACCAUGGCAACGAUAGGUAGGGGGUCUGAGAGGAUUAUCCCCCACACUGGUACUGAGACACGGACCAGACUCCUACGGGAGGCAGCAGUGAGGAAUAUUGGUCAAUGGAGGCAACUCUGAACCAGCCAUGCCGCGUGCAGGAAGACUGCCCUAUGGGUUGUAAACUGCUUUUAUACAGGAAGAAACUUAGUUACGUGUAACUAACUGACGGUACUGUAAGAAUAAGCACCGGCUAACUCCG